rnacentral:rRNA from 1 species
CGCGUAGGCGGCUAUUUAAGUCUGAUGUGAAAUCCCCGGGCUCAACCUGGGAAUGGCAUCGGAUACUGGGUAGCUAGAGUGCAGUAGGGGAAGGUGGAAUUCCAGGUGUAGCGGUGAAAUGCGUAGAGAUCUAAGGAGGAACACCAGUGGCGAAGGCGGCCUUCUGGACUGACACCGACGCUGAGGUGCGAAAGCGUGGGGAUCAAACA